rnacentral:lncRNA from 1 species
AGUAUCAAGGUCGUACUCCUCGGGAAAGUGAAAGUCCAGAGUUACUCCUUUGUUCUUUGUUAUAUUAACCUAAAAUAAAUGAUGAAUAAUUUCUAAACUAACUAAUAGCUACAAGCUAAGUUCUAAGGGAGAUGCAAGAGUAAUUGAUAACUCAAAUAACCAAGACAAGAAAACAAACCUAAAGGGAACCUAAACUAGUUGGCAAUCAAACAAAAGAUAAAGGAUUAGUGAGUCUAAUUAUGCUACCCGUGGAUGAAUUCUUAACCGAAUUCGGUUUCUCUCUCUCGAUAACCGAAUUCCUAAACCUAAUAACCUAAAGUUGGAAUCUCUUCUUAACGAUUGAUUCUUAAAUUAGCAUUAAGCUUUAAUUCGCCUCUAUUAAGCUUUGUUAAUUCUUAAUCCGGUUAGUUAAUUAUCCUUAUCUCUAAGCGAUUAUUAACCAGUUCUUGCUAUUCAAAAUUCCAAUUGCCAAAUGGACUUCUCAAUCACACAAAGCAAUCUAAACACACAAUUCACAACGUCUCAUGAAUAAUGCAUUAUCUUAUUAAUACUGAAAGCAAGAAGAAUACAAAACUAACCCAAACAAUCCAACAAUAUAAUACUAAGCCAACAUAGUAAAGAAAUCCUAAUGGAUUUAAUCAAUCUAGUUAAUCAUGUUCAUUAUCAAAAUCCACAAGAAUUCAAUUACAACAAAGAGUAAAAGGUAGAGAAACCCGAUUACACCCUUGGAUGAGAGUAAACAGCCCCAAUUCCUCUUGCUCGAAUUGAAUCGAUUCUUGUUCCCCUUGCUUGAUUUGAAAACCAAUCAACGAACCUCGCCCAAUCUUCAAUCCUUGAAGGGAAUCCGAUUGAAACUUUGAUCCAAGUCUCCUUUUCCCUUGGUUUCAGCUCAGAAAACCCUUAGGGAGAGAAAAGUUAGAGUUUGGGACAUUCUCCCCCGCUCUCUCUUUUUCUUUCCUCUCUUCUUUCUUUUAAUUAAUUCCCUCUGUCACCGCCAACACGGCCGUGUUGAUGCCCGUGUUCCUAAUACGGUUUGGUGUUCCUGGCCGUGUUACUCUCUGUGGUGUGCUCCCUAAGAAUUACUUUUUCUUUGAUGUUUGAUGCACCCAACACGGCCGUGUUGGUGCCUGUGUUGGGAACACAGCUAGUGUUAAGACCAACACGACCAUGUUCAGCUUCCUCAUGCUCGUACUUAGCUUGUUUCGACAACUUCAGCGUCUAAUUAUGCUCCAAUUCUUCCCUUUUAUCAUCCUUUGACUUCUUUUGGACCUAAUGCAUACAAACAGACGCAUAGGGUGAGUGUUGGGACCAAUUCACAUCCAAAUGUCCAUAAAAUCAAUCUUAAAAACCUCAUUUAGAUGUGUGUAUUUUACGUACAUUAGUGCAUCCUCGGUAGGAGCUGUGCUUGUAGACGGUGGAGGUCCUCAGUGGCAGUUAGAACUAAUGGAGGCUGGGUCGCAUCUGGGAAGCAAUCGUUGAGGUCCAACUCAAUAUUACCCAAGUCAUCAAAGAAUCGUUGCACUCUAUCAUCCAUGUUAGAAUCAGCUAUCCGCUGGAGUUGAGCUGCCAUAUGAUCUGACUAUGUAACCUGCCUCUUGAGGCCCUUCAAGAGCUGUUGUAGUAGGUCGUUAAAGCCCUAGAGCUAUGCUCUGGUCUCCUUCCAGAAUUGCCUGAACUCAGUGAAGUGCUCCUGCUAAAGGUCUGGAAGCCUGUCUAAGCGAUCUGUAAGAGCACCUAUCUGAGCACUAGAGGUGCUGGCAGUGUAUGAAGAUGAAGCAUCGGGAGAGGGGGCGAAAGCAUGUGCUGGGUCAGGUAUAUCUCAAGGUCGUAGCUCUAGUACGUCCACAGCUGGGUCCUGUGGUGCUCUAGCCCGGGCCUCCCUAACCUCUCGCAGGAUCCGGCUGACUAAUCUGUACUCAACACCGAGGGGCCCCUGAGAAGCUGUCACCAACGGCAUGUUAACCAUCUGGCAGACUCCUACUAGUAACAUAUCCCCUAUCCGAGUCGGGUCACUCAAACAAUCAUCCAGAACAUCCAACCUCCUAGCCAAAUGUGUGAUGUAGGGGCCAAAACAAAAAUGGAUCUUCUUGGACUCCCUCACGAAGGUCCUGAUCUGAUUUAGGUAGCCUAUAUCCAGCUUCCUCCGCUGGUGCAGUGCCUAAAGGAUGAAGACAUCAGUCUGCGUCACUACCCUAAAUCUCUCCCCUCUGCCUAUAAUGGUGUAGACCAGAAGUGUAUGCAGAUAUCAGAGCUGGCCUAGAAGGCUGGAUGCCUUCGAGCGGCUCGGGUAAUAAUGCUCUAGUCUGGUCAUAAUUUCGUCCCACAUCCUCUCAUAAGGGAUGGGGUGAGUAUAUAAGCACCCCUGGUAGGCCUCUCUAGAAAUCUCCUGCUGAGUCCAUAGCCCCAGGUGCAUCCUAAACUGAGGUACUGUCAUCAAGAACUGUCUGCCCCCUAACCUGAAAGAAAUGGCAUCUAGCUAAUGCCAAUCAAUGAUUUAUUGCUGUAGAAAGAAGGUGCUGUAGAAUUUUAUAGUGAGCUCCUGGUAGGUAGGCUCGAUGAUGUCGAAGAAUCGAGCAUAUGGUAGGGUCUCAAAGAGCUCUUUGACCUCUAGGGCUAGUCCGACCCUCUCGGGAGUUUUCACAAGCUCACUCCAAACAUAGUGUUUAGGGCUCCCACAAAACCUUAUAACUUGUAUUUUAUGGCUCACACAUAACCCUCACAAUAAUUUACAUAGGUUAGCUCUCACACCGAAUCCCAUGUGUUUAGGUUAACACUCAACCCUUACUAGAGCAGCCAAGCUCUUAAACAAUCAAAGAUUGUUAAAAUUGAUUGCAAGAAGAAAGAGUUCUGAAUGCACAAUAAUGUAAUCUUUUGGUGGUUGUUGAUCAACAUUAAAGGCCAUUUGAUAUGGUUUUUAUACCCUAAAAAUCUCAAGGAGCCAUUACUCAUACAUCCUAAAAACUUCACCAAACUAUUCCUUUAGGAUAGUGGAUUAAAUGCAUUGUCAAAGUGCAAAUCGCGGUGGCGCUUCUUGCGUCGUGGUCGUGAAUCUUGAAAAGCCUCCAACAGCUAUCUGAUGUGGCACUGAGUCAUUGGUUGUUUUAAAACUACCAUUGAUGGUUUGUUACAGUCAUAACAUUUCAUGAAAUUCACAGUCGCACCUUUUGUGGUGCGGUUGCAAUUCUCAAACUUAAGUCUCUAAGUCCUUCUAUCCAUAAACUUGUUUUUCUCGUGGUUGUGCCAUAGAGGAUGCAGUUGCAAUUUUGAAGCAUAUUAGGGCUCUUGAUUUUAAUUAAAGCUAUAAUAACUAUUAUUAUAUUAAGAACUCAAUUUAUGUGUCAAGAUCAAAAUUAGAGACUUUAGCCUUGUGAUAAAGCAUCUAAGCUAACAACCUCCCUUUUCUUGAUUUUGACAAACAUAUUGAGUAUGAGGGAUAAAACAUUUUAAAUAAGUGCACUUAGACUAAAAAGUUUAAGAAUUUCUUACUCCCUUGCUUACCCUUAAUGUGUGAAUGUGUGUAUAUGAAACAUUUUUACUCAAUAUAAUUUCUUCUCCGUUUUCAUUAUCAAAAAAAGUAAAGAGGUGAAAGGAAUUAUCAAUAGAGUAAAAACAAACACAUAAAAUUAAUUGCAUUAAGGAAAUAUAGAAUUACAUAACAACAAUAGGAGACAUAAAAAACAAGAAAAGUAAAAACAAAUGAAAGUGAAACCAUAAGAUGUGAAGAAUGUAAAUGAAUGAAGAAAGGAGAGGCUCUAUAGGUCUUGAGAUCCUCUAGAUUCCUCUUUAUUUUCUUCCUUUUCCUCACUACUCUCAUCAUCUGACAACUGCUAGGAAUCUAGAUGGCAAGGAGGAAUUCUGUGAUGCUUUUAGAUUUCAAUGAGGACAUUAUGAACAUGCUUGAGAGGCCUAUAGAAUUCUUAACUCUCUUGGCUUGCUUGGUCAUGAAGAUUAUUAUUUUUCCCCUCAAAAUGAUUCUUCCUUAUGGAAUAUAUGCCUUUUGCUCUGCUCUCCCUUCCUCAUUUGAGGUAUCUUCAACCUCUUACUCCUCUUCUUCCCUUCUUCAAUAUUUAGCCUUACCCUCUUUUUCUUCUUUACUUGCUGUAUAGUGAAGAUAGCACUAGCACCCAAAAUAACCUCAUAGGAAACAUCACCUUUCUUUUUUAUCACCUUAGAACAAAGAGAGUAUUGAAUGGUGAUGUAAUUGGUGCUCAUGGGUAAAGGAUGUUUCAAGUAACCUAGGUUGGUGGGGGUAAGAAGUUUGAAGUAAUCGGCAACCAUUGUUACAUAGAAUGAAAUAAGAAUAUAUCCACCAGAAGACUUAGUAAGAUGGAAAAAAUGAUCAAUGACAUAAUAAGACAAUUGAAUAGGCUUAGUGUGGAUCAUGCAAUAGAGAAUACAUAAAUACUUUUGUGUUAUUUUCUCAUUUCCAUCACACCUUCCAUUACUUGUAACAAGACAUCUUGGUCUCGUGGCCUAGGACUUAACUGAGGUAAAGUUCAAGUAACUCUUUCAGCAAUGUUAGCCAUGGUGGUGCUAAAUUGCUGCAUCAAAUCAUCGGCGGCUUUCUUUUAGGGUAAAGAUUAUUUUGGCCUAUAAUUAUUUUUGGACCUAAGUCUAGUACAAAUGGUAAUAAUGACCAUAAGUUUAUAAUUAAUUAAUUAGUAAUAGAGUCACUGCUGAUGGAGUAGGACAAGAAGGUUUCGUUUCUUAAGGAACAAAUUGAAAGAACCAUGAUGCCUCAAGAUGUUCAACUACAUGAGGUGUUAGUAUCUCCAAUAGGAAUGCUGUUGUUUGGAAGCAGAAUAAUAUUUUUCUUUUAGUUCAAAUUUCUGAUAUUAAUAAUUCUAUGAUUAAUAUUUUCAGGGUGCAAGUAGAGAAAAAAUAUUUAAAUAUAACUAUGUCAAAAAAUAAAAUUAAUUAUACUAAAACAAACAUUCUUAUUAAUAGGUCUAAAUGAGUUGCAUAAUAUAAAUUAAGGAUAAGUUUUAAUAAUCUUAAGUAUGUUUUUAUUUUAGACAAAAAAGACAUGUGGUUAUAAGUCAUGACAAAAAUAAGUAUGUCACUGUUAAAUAAUUAUAAUUCUCAAGAAUUCAAUCAUUUUCAUUCUGACUAGUUACUAUCAUUAUAUUGUCUAUAUCUAAUAAUAUGAGUUUAGAAUUUAACAAAAUCUAACUUUAUUGUUUGAUCAUCAUAUUGAUAUCAUUGGAAUACUUAAAAUUGUUGAUUGCUACUUUUUCAAAUUUAUCCUUAUAAACAAAUAUAUAAACUUGAGUCAAAAAUUGCAUUCCUACUGCAAAUGCUGACUCUCGAGUCGCCCAAUAUCAUUAUAAAAAAAAUAAUAAUUACUAAAAUAACCAAUAAGCUUUGGAUUGGUAGUAUUGCAACGAAAGCUCAACUAAUAAAAAGAAGGAAUAAGUAUAAAAAAAAAGUAUUUCGUGAUUUUAUUAUUUGAUGAGUUUCAAUUUGUGGUUUUUUUCCAAAUAAAUAGAUUUAUAUGGUUAAAAAUCGCAACAAAAAAAAUAUUUCAAUAUUAAAAGUAUUAUUGGUAAAAACUUAGCCAUCUUAAAUCCGAUCAGCCAUCAUUAUUAUAUUUUUCGUAAUUGAUAAUAUGAGUUUAAAGUUUAAGAACUCAAAAUAUCAUUAUUUGACUGUUAAAUCGAUCUCAUCUGAUCAAUACUUCUUAACCGCAGUUUAACGGUCAAAUAAUAAAAUUACAAGUUCUUAAGCUCUAAACUCACGUUAUUAGACAUGUAUAAUAUGAUAAUAAUGGCUCAUCGAAGUGAAAGCGACCGAAUCCUUACAAAUAAAGACUUUUUAAAGAAGAGAUACAUUUUUUGCUACAAUUUAUAACAACAUACUCUCGUUAUUGGAAAAAAAAAUAAUGUAUUAAAAAAAUUAUAAAAUAGUAAACCAAAAAAUAUUUUUGAAAUAAAAUCCAAUUUGACCAUUAACCUUAUUGCUUGGGUUAAGUUUAGCCCUUUUCUAAAUUUUUAGAAACAUUUUCAUAUUUAGCUCAAAUUAAUCCUACUUUUUAUAAAAAUGAAAGAGUGAAUUGCACACUCCCUAGAAGGAGAGUCGACAAAAUAAAAAAUAAAAAAUACUAAUUUCUUAUAUUAAAUUAUUUAAAUUAAAAAUAUAUAUUGAUAUUUAAAUAAAUAAUAAUAAAAAAAUAUUUCUUCUUAAUAAUGAUAGUAAAAGUAUUCUUACUGUCUUUUUUUUUAAUAAUGACAGUGAAAGAAACAGUUACAAUGAUGCCGAGGGCGGUAGAGACAAGCGGUUUCAAUAAAAAUAAUUGUGAUAAUAGCUACUUGUUACUUAAUUACAUUAAUCACACUAAAAUUAUAAAUUAAUUUUUAAAUAAUAUUAUAAUUAUUAAUUUUUUUAUUUUUAAAAGAGAGCGACUUCAUUUUUUUAAAAUAAAAUUAAUUUAAAUCAAAUGUACAAAAAAUUAAACUAAAAAGUUCAUAAAUUUAAAAAAUAAUUAAAUCUUAAUAAUUAAAUCAAGCCCAGCACUUUAUUACAGUAGUUUUUUUUAAUCCUUAUCCCUUAAAGGAAUAUCAAAUUCGAAAACAAAUGAACAAAUAAAGAAAACACAUCAAACUACCAAUUCCACGAGCAAGCAAAUAUAGUUGAAAUUUGAGAAUAAGAACUCACCAAUAGCAGCCUUUUAUUAAAUUACUAAAAAUAAAAUUAAGGUUGUAUUAAAUUUAUUACAAGUAAUAGUGCCCAUUAAUUGUCUAUUGGUUGAUAAUUAAGCACCACUGCUGGAACGGAGAAAUUGGACCAAUUUCAACAGCUGCUGUAUUUCAUAGUUUCCUCAUUUUUACAAGCUUGCAUGUCUCUUUCAGGCUUGGCACCAGGAGGAUGCAUGAUUCGUGGAAUACAGAUAUAUAGAAGGACCUACAAAACAGAAGCUUCCUUCCUCAGAGCUCCGCUUAAUUGUUUUGCAAUUACAGUCUUUUCCUCGCUCCCAGCAACCUGCUGCUUCCCGGUAAUAAAGACAGAUGGUUCUCGUUUCCCCCGCUCGUCAGUUUCUCCAAGUGAAGGAUAUGAUCUUCCACUUCCGUGAAUAAGACCCUUGAGAGUCGAUUUCAGUUCUUUAUCUUUCAUCAGAGACUCUAAUGUCACAUGUACACCUGAAUGUGGAUGUGCAAGGCAAGAAAAAUAUACAUUUAUUAUUUAUGACUCAAGAUACAGUUCUGUUAAUAUUAGCUGAAAACAGGAGAAGCAAAUUAAAUAUUAAUGUCAUCCAAACACAUACGAUAUCUCCAGUAGUGCUUUGGAUUUGUGGGGUCAUUAAUAGUUUCCUCUGUUGCAGGGCGUGUCAUGUACUCUUUUUUCAGUGCUAACAAAUCCUGAUCAUUACAUAACCCCAUUAUUAAAAUAUAUUUAGAUUGGUAAAAUUGAUUCUCAUAUAUGACACCAUUCCUGAGAUGAAAGAGAUCUCCCUAGCAGGGAGUGAGAUCAUGCUUGGCAGUCAAUUUAAUGCUUGAGUUUGGUUAUGGUACCUGAAGAGGGAAAAUUGCCCACAUAGAUGGAGCUUCAACAUGUUGCCUUAUGAUGAAACAUGCGACAUCUGGAGUACAUUGACUAGGUGGUAAUAUAUCAGAACCCACCACAAUCUUAAAGAAUCUAAGUCUUCUUUCCUCAUCUUCUUCCCACCAAGCACGGAAAGUGGAGCAGUCAUGGCAUGAUGGAGCACACACCUGAAGCAUAUGAUCAUUCAUGUUGCAGAAUCAAAUUAAACCACAUUCUACAAACAAAUCAAAUGAGGAUCCUAGAAAUUCAAUCACUUGUACGUUGCUCAUGUAAAACAAAAUAAAAAAAAUUUAGGCAGGAGGAGAUGACUUGCAUAUAUCCAAGUACAGCGUCAAAGGUUGGAAAUAUGAUUGGUGAACUAACUCGUACUAGUUGCAUUCGGUAGAGUCUCCUAUCAGUUACAAAGCUCUUGUAGCAACUGGCUAAUCAACUUCUAACCUACCAAUACGUCCACUGAAAAUCGAUUAUGGACUUUUCAACUUUGAAAUUAGUUAUACUCAAUUGGCAUAAUCAUGGCCUUAAGGAACCCUAAGGACUGGUAGCAGACUCAAGGAAGGGGAGAGGCUGAGGGGGGGGGGGGGAGGAGAUGGUGNNNACAAAAGGAUUUGAAGGCAGCAACGAUGACCAAAAAAUAUCUGAUGGCUAGGUUUCUAAGAGUACAAGAGGUUUAGUUUAAUAUUUUACUUUUGAAAAUUAUAAUGUACAAAAUUAUCAAGAAGUAAUAUUUAUCCGUAUAUCUGCACCAAUUAAACUAACAUAUGGCACAUUCCCAAUAACAAAUUGUGUUUACUUUUCUGAAAAGUAAUUCACGCCAAAUUGAACAAAAUAGCAAAGGAUGUCAAUAUCACAUUUGAGUAUAAAGGCUUAUUGAUGUGUUUGACCAAUGAUAAAUCAGAAAAUACACAUCAAUGGUAAUACCAUAAGGCAUAUGAUUUUCAAAGAAAAGCCUUGCACUUUUCAUUCACAACCAAGGGGAUAUUAGUAUUUUCAGCAAAUGAGAUAAUGCCAUAACUAUAAAACACAUACAACUUGGAAUGAGUAAGCACAAAAAGAUAAUAUCAGUUCCAUUUCUCACCGUUAUUUGUGGUAGCUGUAAAAUUAUCAUAAGGCACAAAAUAAGGUACAAGGGACCAGCAUAUUAUAUCAUUGGAACUCACCGUCAUGUAGCUGUAUUUAGAAGGAAUACCAAACUCCAGAUCAGGUUCACUAGGCAUACGUUGAAUGCGCAAACCUAUUAAUCCCAAUUCUUGCAUGACCUGAAGUGUUUUAAGUCAAGAAAUAUAAGCCACUUGUAGAAGAAAAGCGAACUAAGUGGUGAAGGUUAGCACCUAAAAGUUGAUGGACAUACUGGGUGAACACAGGCAGGUAUGAGGCCCAAAUCUUCUCCACAGGCUAGCAUGUCUGAUGAGUUCAGGAGGACGGGCAAAGUUUUCAUAGCAUUUUUCCGCCAUAGAUUUUCUUGCCGAUUGAAAUAGUAAUCAUAGUACAAUCUUUUCAGAACGUUUUUGCUGCAAGUCAGGACAACAAAAAGGGUUAGUUAUGUUGUAGUGGUGAGGAGUUUAUAGGUGGUAUUUAUAGACAAAGAUCCAUGUACUGAACUCAACAUGAUUAAUAAACACAGCUGGAACAAAAACUUGUGUUUUAAGACUUAUAUUAGAAGGCAGAGCUAAUUCCUAAAUUAACAGCAAGUAUUGGAAUAAGUUCUUGAACUUAGAAAAUGUGCAAUCAAACACCCUUUUCUAUUUUGAUCAUUAUCUAAAGUUCUUUCUAAAUAGUUCGCAAGGAAAGCAUUAAUUAUGUUUAUUUUGUUUCAUCAAUCUUCAAUAAUGAAAAACCAAAGAAUAAUGAAUAAUAGAGGUGGCAAACUCUACCCUUACCCUUUUAUCUAUCCUUAUUAUAUUGGUAUGGGUAAUAUAGAAGAACUAAAUAGAUUGUAAAAGGGUAAUAAUAAAUGACUCUUAUUUAUAUGGGUUGGGUUAAAUUGGAUAUGGAAACCCACUAAUGAACCAUCUCAUCAGUUUUUUUGGAUUACUUACAAAAAUCCUCUUUUUUAAGGUCUAACAUUUUUACCUUCAAACUAGAUGAGUUUGCAGAAUACAAUUUUCAUUUGCAAAAAUACUUUUUUUUUCUUUAAAACACCAUAAAUUUGCAAAACAAAAAUAAUAUUUUUUCAAAACAUGAGAUGACAUGCAUAACUAUUUACAAAAAAAUAAAGAAUACAAAAAAAAUUGCAUUUUCUUCUUAUACUCUUUUUUUCUUUUCUCAUUAUUUAAAUUUUAAAAGUUGUAGCCUAUAUUAUCAAUAUAAUUACAGUUUUUCAAUUAGUCUAUAUUUUAAGUUAAUUGAAAGAUACAUUUACGACCUUGAAGCUCUAAAAUUGCUACGGUGAUAUGCUUUUACCACUAUUGAUGUGGGAUGCUUUCUAUAUUUCACUUAUUUAUUGAAUUAAAUAUGUAAAUAAAUAUCUUUUCAAAUUUAAACAUUAAAUUGUUAAGCAAUCAUGACACCUAUUUUUUCUAAAAAAAAAGAAAGAAAAUAAAUGAACCAGCGAAUAUUUGGACCAUUAUGCUUAUUCAUUUUUGUCACUCUCAAGAUUCAUUAUUUGAAUUUUUAGUAUUUGUUUUUCCUUUUCAAAAGAAUCAUUUCUUUUGAUUGAUUAAUGAAUUUAGGGAGGGUUUAAUUGAUUAAUAAGUGAUUUUCAUCCUUCAAUUCUAAAGCUUAACUUUUCUUUUUCCUUUCAAAACUAUGUUUAUUUAUAAAUUUAGAUACAUCAUUAUUCCAAAAAAUUAUUUAUUAUUAGCAAUUAAAUGUGUUUCCUUUUAUAAAAUAUUACUUAGAUUUGAAAUCUUCAAGUUUUGAAGGGAUAAUAAUAUAAAUAGUCACUAAACUUUACACUCAGUUUUAUUCUGGUCACAAAAUUUUAAUUUGUUUUAUUUCAAUCAUUCAACUUUAGUUUUAGUUGCAAUUUAGUCACCUUGCCAAUAAUAAAUUGGCAUGUCACAUUUUUCUUAAUUAAUUACACUUUUCUUAUUGGUUGAUCUUGCCACGUGUCAAUUUUUUUAUUUGCGAAAUAACUAAAUUGAAACAAAAUUAAAUUUGGAUGACUGAAACGAAAGAAGUUAAAGUUUUAUGACUAAAAUGAAACUAAUUGCAAAGUUCAGUGACCAUUUAUAUCAUUUUUCCAAGUAUUGAAAUUAUUUUUAGUAUUAAUAAGACAAAACUCAUUUGUGUUUGCCACUUCUUUUUCUCUAUUUUUCUACUUUUAUUCUUACUAAAAUCUCAAUCAACUGGUAAUCAUCUUUUAAGUCAAUGAUUUUUUUAUUUAUUACAUAACUUUUGAAGAAAAUUUUCUAGUUAUAGUAGCUUUUAAAAAGCCUAUCCCAUAUAACUAAAAGUGAGAAAAAAAAUCGAAAAACCCGAACCGAUUGGAAUCGAACAUCAGUGGCUUCGAUUAAUAUAAAGUAAGUUAUAAAAAUAUUUAGUGAAUAAAAUAUAGAAAAUUUAAAUUUCAACAUGAAACUUAAAAGUUUCAAUAUGACAAUAAUUAUAUCCUUGAAAAAAUAUCAUUAAAACCACACACAAGGAUUAAGAAAUAUACAAUAUUAAAUUGUCUCAAUUAUAAUGAAAAUUAAUUUUAUGAGUAAAACAUCAAUUCAUUAAAAUACAUAAAAAUUCUAUAGAAUCUUUUUUCACUUCAGUGAAUUUAUUUCUUCUUCUAUUAAUACUUUCUCUCACAAUGAAUAAGGAUAAAAUUAGAAAAGUAAUUAAUUCUUCAUUAGUUGCUUAAAAUAACACUUAAUUUCAAGUAAGAAAAAAUCACUUUUAAAUGACACUUAUUUCAAAAUGGAGAAAGUGAAUAGUUAAGUAGUUUAUUAAAUUCAUCAAAAUCUAAUUUAAUAAUAAAUAGACAAAAAGAAAAUAUGAAAAUAAAAGAGAUUUGUUGUAUGAAGUUUUUUUGAAUGGAAUUUAUCAUGUUUGUCAUUCAUAGAAAUAAAUGGAUACAUCUUGACACAUAAUUAUAUCAUAAAAAAACAAUUAAGAAAUACAAAAAUAAAAAAGAUAAAAGAUUUCCAGCAAAAAUUUCUUUUGGUUUCCGUAUGUUUCUUUUUGAUAAAUUUAAUGAAUAAUAUAAAAGCAAAGCAUUGAACUAAUAAUACAUCAACAAGCUAUAAAAAGAACUUCAUCGGAGAGAAAGUAAUGCUAAUAAAAUUAUAGAGACAAAAUUUAGAGAAAUAAAAAAAGAAAAGAAUUUUGUUGGUUAAAUUUAUUUAUAAUAAUAAUAGUGAUGAAAUUAAAUUAAUUCACCAAAUUUGAGUACUAAUAAUAAUAAAAGAAACUAAGGUCUAAAAUAAUAAUAAUAAUAUAUUUAAAAUAAUUCUCGUUAGGAAUAAUUAAAUUAACACUAAUUGGUUAAAUGGGUGAGUAAGGAUUUAUAUGAGUCAUAUAAAUUUGGAUACCCACAUACACCCAUACCUAUCCAUUUGCCACCUUUAAUGAAUACUCUUCAAGUAAAUAUGAAAAUUUUAAAUGAAUCAAUCUCAGCCACAUAGAGAUGUGGGGUAGUGGAAAACUUUAAAUAAACCAGACAUUCAAGUUGGGGUUAAAAUGAAGGACUUAGCAGCAUUGACUUUGUCAUAAAAUGUAACCUUAGGAUUAGCAGAAUUAAGGGAAAGAAUCUAGAUUAACUUAACAGAGAUGAAAGCUUAAUUCAGAUAAGGAAAGUUGAGUAUCUUGUUGUAGGAUCCCAAGUCAUUAUUGGAAUGUCCCAUUAGGAAAUCAAUUGCAUUGGUAAUCAUUUAAAAAUGUUGAAGGUGGGAAAGGAAUUCACAAGGGAAAAUAUACAAGACAGUAACGGGGCAUACAAGUGAAGAAGAUUGGAUUUUUGCAAGCAAAUGGUUGUGUAAGAGAGGCUCCAAUUCCACUCAUGGCAAUGUUUGUGACUUAAACCCAACACUCCCAAGUUCACAGAAAUUCAACAUGGUAUUAGAGCUGAAAUAGACCAAUGAACGGAUGAUCAUGAGCUCAUGAAAUUUAGGACAGCGAAGGAGAUUAGGCCAACAUUUGAAAACCUAGUCUGACCUUGUAAACGAGGCUAUAACAAUUGGUAGACCAUGACAAUUGGCCCUAAAUUACUUCUGCAAAGAUUUCCCCAACUUAGCAAUGUGGAGCUCCUUAAGACCACCAAAGAGAAAACUCUUGACCUCAAAAGUCUCUUAAACUUUUUAGGCAAAACCCAAUACCAAAAACAACAAAUGGACCACAUAGUGGAGCAGUGUAAUAAGAUUAUAAUAACUCACCGGAUUCAUAGUACAUAAACAUCAAAAAGCUCAUGCUUUAUCUGGCCUGCUCAUUAAUUUAUUAGAAUAUAAGUGCUAAUCAUGUCUAAAGUUAGAAUUCAGUUCAGUUAAGAAUAGCACUAACAGUUUAAAGUUAGUGCUAAUCAGUAUUCUAACUCGAGACAUGAUUAGCACUAUAGCCAAAAUUUAAAAGUUCUCUCAGUCAACAGUAAUCUAUAUAAUUAACAGUAACAGCUAAUUGAAAAGUUCUAGCUUCCGCAAUACACAUUUGGAAACAAGUAAUACUAAUUCAGGAUAUUUCAAGGAUAAUCAUGAUUGAAGUACCUGUGAUCAUCCAGAUCUUCGAAACUUGAAGUAUCCUCAAGGUUGAAACGAGGGUAAAAUUUCCUUGCAUCCUCUGGAUCUCUAAUAAGAACUAUAUUCUGCAACCAUAAUAUGAACAGAUCAAAAGCCUUAGGACAAGGACAAGGACAAGGACAAGUAAUGGGAACAGAAUUCAAAUGUCAAGAAAGGUACUAAAAUCUAGUGUAUUUUUUUGCAUUACAUUACCUUCAAAAGAUCAAAAAGACCAUGACGUAUCUUGUCCUCACUUUCGAACAUGGAUUUUUCUGCCAAAGUCUUCAACUUUGAAGUAAUUUUUUUCUCUGUGUUACAGUCCUCCUUGAACUUACAUAUAAUAGGAAUGAGUCAAACUACUUGGUGCAAUAUUUUGUACACAAAUUUAAUUAAAAGUAAUAAAAUGUCAAUAAGACAUUGCACAUUUAAGUACAAUUGCGGAAAAUUAAAACCUAGAAAUCCCUUCCCAUCAGCAUUAAUGUUGUUAAUUAAUUAAGGGUUUGAUUCUCUCUAAAUUAUCCCUGUCAUGGCUAUUAAGAAUUGUGAUUGGUUAAAGGCUAUAAUUCUCUCUGAAUUUUCCCUCAGAGACCCAACUGCAGUGGGACCAUAACAGGGAAAAUUGACCAUCAUAACUCAGUCAUACAUAGCUAGUGCUCUUAACUCAGUCAUACAUAGCUAGAUAGUGCUCUUAAUCUUGCAUGAUGACCUAGUGACAUUUCAAGUACCAAACCACGAUUGUCACAUGUCACUUAAACAAGAAGAUGUUAAUAAGUAGCAGGAAGUAAUAGUUUCCCGAAAAUGAAAACCACUAAGCAAGCAUAACUAAGUGAAAAAUGUAGAAAAUUAACCAUUGUAUGGUUUUCACCUCAUAGCGGCCCUUUUGGUGCUCAUUCAGAAAAUUUGCAGCAAUAAAAGUCCAUGAAGCUCCAAGCUUUUCCUGAAAUGAAACGGUUUAUGCAUACUAGUAAAUUGCAUACCUAUUUUAUCUAGUUACUUUAAGGACAUGAGCCAAACAAGACAAGGACUUAGUUGUUUAAAGAAACCAGAAUACAGAAAAUGAGGAAAACUCAAUAACCUGUAAAAAUUCCUGCCGAAUAUAUGGACGGCUCAAGCGAUCAAAGUCCCAAAUUCCAUCUUUUUCAAGUUCUUCCUAGAGAAAAACCAUAUUUUCAUGUAUAUUACUCAAAGAAUAUGAAAAACAAUUUUCUCUUGUUGGUGAUACCUGGUGUGCUGGUGCAAGAGCACUUUAGGCUAUAGUACAUCGUACCCAGUGGCCAGUAGCAAGCUUCUGCUAUAUUAGAGAAUACCAUGAGAAUGCUACUAUACCUGACUAAGGGGGAUAGAUGGUCUGAAUUUUCCAAUUAGGCCCGUCAUAGCAUGCUCUGGAAGUUCCCAGAUCCUAAAGAACCCCAAUAUAUGAUCAAUCCUGUAUGCUGUGAAGUAUUUGGCCAUCUGUAGAAAUCAGAGAAAUAUAUACAAGUUUAAUGAAUGCUAUCUGUUUCUGAGGAAAAAAGGCAUACCAUAGACAUGAUGGUCGUAUGCAAAGUGUAAAACCUGUGUUAAACGAGCACGCCACCAAGCAUAGUUGUCUUUGGACAUUUCCUCCCAGUUAUAGGUUGGGAAACCCCAAUUCUGACCAUUUUUAUCAAAGUAGUCUGGAGGUGCUCCAGUUGAUGUGUUCAUGCGGAAUAGGUUCGGAUAGACCCAAGUAUCCACACUGUUUCUGUCAACUCCAAUAGGAAGAUCGCCUUUCAAUAUAACCCCUUUCUUUCUUGCAUAUUCUGCAGCUUCUGACAACUGUUUUUUUUACAAAAAAAAAAAGAAACUAAUGUCAGUUCACAAUGAUCCCUCCAAUAGCAACUCAUUUUCUCAGGAAAGAAAUGCCAAUAAUGCAAAAAAAAAAAAAUAUUGUGGUACAGUGGUAAGAUGAACUUACUUGCAAAUGUAAGUGGAACUGGAUAUAAUAAUGGAAGCAAAUCAUCUCAUAGUGCAAGCUGUCUUUUGAGACAAGUUUCACAAGCUGCAAACAAUCAUACAUCAUUGUCUGAGAUUUUAAAUAGGAUAAUCUUAUUUGUAAGAUCAUAUCAAAUUUCCUUAUUGCAUGAAUCUACUCCAGCUAACUAUGACUUGGGCUUAUUAAAGUUGAAUUAAGUUGACUCAAGUUGUAUGGGAAAGAAGCAGACAAUUUAUUAAUAUAAUCAACCUCAACUAAGUUGAAGAAAAAUAAAAAAACAAAGAGCUAAUCACCUUUUCGUUGGAAUAUUGAGAAAAACGGCCCCAUUGACUGUGAUCGGAAGUCUCAAAGAAGUCCCGAAGAAAACAGAAAGCUGCAUAGGGUUUUAACCAUUCCUUUCAUCAAGGAGAAUAUAAGUCAGAAAAACAAUUAGCUUUGAGAAAUUACAAUAGAAUAUAUCCAUUCAACUUAAACAUUGAAGAGAAAAAAUCAGGAUGAAUAUUAAGAUUUUUCCACCAUAAUAGACAUCAACAGAAGCUUUCUUUUUUUAAAAAAAAAAAAAAAAGAAACAAUAGAAUUCGUAAGACCUCAUUCUCAGAGAAGUAUUUCUGAAAGGAACCGGAGUUAAGUAUCAAAUCCUUCUCUAGGGCAAAAACUUGUUUAGCAAUUGAAAGUUUGGUAGCCAGAGUAGCCUCAUAAUCAACAUCCUGCACAGAUUCAGAAUUUGAAUUUAUUAAUAGAACUUUGACUGUGUCCACUUAAGAGGAUAUCCUAUCACUUAUUUGCAUUUAUAAAACUUUACUAGCUCUUCUUGUUUAAGACUACAUUAUUCAAGCAGCCAGGAAGUGAAGGAACUAUUCUGGAGAGUCAACUGCAGCUUUCACACAUAGUGGCAGCAGCUACUACACUGGUGGACUCAAUUAGAUAUUAGGCUCAUUGGCUGCAUAAAUUUUGUCAAGACAAUCAAAAUUCUUGAUAAGCUAACCUUGAACAACCAUACAUGGAAUAUGCAAUAUUGAAGCUGGAUAUAACAAAGGUGUGCAAGGGCCUUAUCUUUUGUUUCAACUUUCCAUAUGUAGAGGAAUUACUUUCCUUAUUCUUGAUGCCUAAGGAAAUAGCAGAUAGGAGAUUGGGUGUGGUGGGCAAGGGACAAGAACAUUUGAGAAGAAUCCAAUGCAAAAUGAAGCACUGUUCUAAAGUCUAUAAAAAGAAGGUAGACCAAUUAGUUCCUAAUCAAUCCUAGUCAUGCUCAAUUAAUUUCAUAUUUACAUAUAUACUAUUUAUAACCUGUAAUACUCUCCCUCAAGUUGGAGAAUAGAGGUUAAUCAUGACUAGCUUAUUAAACAGAUAAUCAACCUGAGCCCAUUUAGAGGCUUCGUGAAAGUAUUUUCCAAGUGUUCUCGAGUUUUCACAUAUGCUGUGAAAAUCAAACCUUGUAUUUUCUCACAAAUGAAUGGCAGUUCAUUUAAAUGUACUUAAUUCAUUUAUGAAAUAAGGGAUUGGAUGCAAUAUGAAGAGCAACUUGGUUAUCACAUCACAAUUUUGCUAGUAAUGAAGAUUUAAGCCCUACUUCAUUCAAAAGCUUAUUAUCCAUUUUAUUUCACACACAAACUGUGUAAAAGCUCUAUAUUCUGACUCUGUACUCGUACAUGAGACAACAUUCUGCUUACUCUUCCAUGAGACUAGAUUUCAUCCAACAAAGACAUAAUAUCAUGAAGUAGAUCUUUGACCUUCCUAGGAUUCUACCCAAUCAGCAGUUAAAAAACACUCAAUCUUAGUAUGAGCGUAAUUCCUAUACAAGACACCACGUCUAGGAGCUAUUAUCAAAUAGCAUAAAAUCUGUUCAAUGAUUAAUUGUUGGAGAGCACAUGUAUUGACUCAAAACACCAACCAGAGAGCACAUGUCUUAACUCAAAACAUUAACUAAAUAUGCAAUAUCUGACCAAGUUACUAUAAGAUAAUUUUCCGAAUAAUCUUCUAUCUCUCAGGAUAUUCAAACAAUUCACCCUUUUGUGUGGGUUGUAAUUUAGGAACCAUAUGAAUACUACACAGUUUAGCUACCAAUUUUCUCAUCGCCGAUAAUAGUCAAGCACAUUUUUCCUACGAUAGGAAAAUUCCUUUCUUACGUCUUAUUACCUUAACACCUAAGAAAUACAAUAUCGCAAAAAAAUUUAUGUCAAACUGACUAUAAUAUAAAGGAAAGAUUUAAGAGACGGUAUACUUUUAAUAUUACUCCCAGUAAUGAAAAUAUCAUCUACAUAUACUACCAAUAAAAAGAUUUCAACUCCUGAUUGUUUAUAAAAGAAAAGAGAUCAGAUUUCCUUUUUUGAAUUCCAAAUCUUUCAACUGCUCAACUAAAUCUGCAAACCAAGCAUGAGGAUUCUAUUUCAGACCAUACAAAAACUUACAAAGAUGACAAAUUUUUCCAUACCCCCCCUAAGCAAUAAAUCCAAUAGGUUAUUCCAUAUAAACUUCUUGAAGAUCUUCAUGAAGAAAGAAAUUCUUGAUAUAUAGUUGAUGCAAAGCCCAUGUGAUUGGCUGCAAUAGAAAUGAGUAACCUGAUAGAAACUAACUUAGCGACAGGAAGAAAAAAUGUCAGAAUAAUACACUCCAUUAGUUUGAGUUUAGCAACAAGAUGGGGUUUCAAUCGAGCAACUAAUCCAUCAAGAUAAACUUUUAAGCACAAAAACCCUUUUACAUCCAAUACCCUUCUUCCCUGCAUGUAAGUUCACUAAGUAAUAAGUACCAUUUUCAUUUAAAGCAUUCAUGUUCUCUAUCAUAGGACUAUGCCAUUCAGGAUAAGACAGAGUUGGAAUAAAAGAACAAGAAGAGGAUGGCAAGUGAUUGUGAGACACAAAAGAAGAAACUGGAUAAGUACAUCUACCUCACGAAGGGCAAUAGAAAGAUCAUCACUUAAGACUAGAUCUAAUGCCGAAAGAACUAGCACAAGACAUGUAUCAGAAGGGGUUUGUCGCCGAGAAUAGACAUAAGGAUAGAAGUCUUGGUAGGUGCAAAAAUAGAGGAUGUGAUAGUAUAGAUCACCAGGUCAUCAUCCUCCCUUCUGAGUUACAUGACCGGAAGAUGGAGUGAAAGGUGCGUCUUCUAGGAAAACAACAUCAACUGACAAGAUAUCUUCUAGCUAGGACAAUAACAUCUAUAUCCUUUUUUAACAUGAGAGUAAUGAAGAAAAAUACAUAUCAAUGAUUUGGGAUAUAUAGCACAAAAAUAAGAAAACAACAAUAACCAAGCCAUCCGAGAGUAACCGUCAACAAAAGUAACAAAAUAUUUAAAUCAAGUUUUAGACAUAGCUUUAAAUCAAGUUUUAGACAUAGCGAGACAAGGACCUAAGAAAUUUGAAUGAAGUAAUUCAAAAGGAGCACUAGCUCGUUUAUUGAUUUUAGGACUUGAACUAAGACGAUGGUGUUUGGCAAACUGAGAAGAUUCACAAUUUCAUGAAGAUAGGCUAUGAAAUUAAGGAAAAAGGCUUUUUAACAAAGGGAAAAAGAACGACCCAACAGAUAAUAUGCUUCAAAAAAAGGGUUACUAUUCUAGAACAAGCUAUAGAUGUUGGCACCUGUGUCUCAAGGAUGUAGAGACCCCCAGAUUCAUGUCUUUUACCAAUAAUCUUCUUCAUCGUAAGAUACAAUAGUCAAGUGCACAAGUAAUUUGCUUAAAGAAAUUAAAUUAAAAGGCAACUGAGGUAAACUUAAGACAGAUGACAAAGGAAUAUGGAGUUGGGGUAAUUUUGCCAUACCCAAGAAUACAAGAUCUUGACCCAUCUGUUAAAGUAAUAGUAGAAGUAGAUAUAUGUGACUAAAAAGCAAAUAAUAGACUAAAAUUACUUAUCAUAUGACCAAUGACACCAAAAUCAAUGACUCAUUUAGAAGAUAAGAAACAAGAUGUGUUUAGUUU